AGCCGCAUCAGUGGUGAUUUUUAUGCUUGGAAAUUUGAUUGUCGUCCUACAAUGGCAUCAUGGAAGCCAGAAGAAGGUAGCGUUGAUUGCUGCUCUUGGGACGGAGUUCAUUGCAAUAAGAACACUGGUCAUGUCAUCAAGCUUGACCUCUCCCAUAGCUGCCUUUUUGGUUCUAUCAACUCUAGCAGCAGCCUUUUCAAGCUUGUCCAUCUUGAGUGGCUUAAUCUUGCUUUGAAUGACUUCAAUUCCUCCGAAAUCCCACCAGAAAUCAUCAACCUUUCCAGGUUAUCAUACUUGAACCUCUCUGGAACUUCUUUAUCUGGCCAAAUACCAUCAGAAAUUCUAAAGCUCUCCAAUUUGAUGUCCCUUGAUUUAUCACUAAAUGAUGUUCCUGGUGGUAGACUUGAACUCCAGAAGCUUAGUUUCAUAAAUUUAGUCGAGAAGUUAAGCAAUCUAAAAACACUUGACCUUAGUGAUGUUUCUAUUCAGUCAACGAUACCUCAUAACAUUGCAAACCUAUCUUCUUCAACGUUUGUUUCUCUUCGAAACUGUGAAUUGCAAGGUAAUUAAAUUUUAUAUAUUUUCUCCUUAAUUAAUAUACAUGCAUGUUAUUGUUAAAUAUAUAUAUUUUACUAAAAAAUUGCCAAUUGCAAUGUUAAAUUCAUUAGUAAAAACUAUUAUUAUUUUUAAUUUUCUACUUAAGCAAUGUGCUCUUUUUUCUUUUCUCUUUUUUAACAAAUUUCAGGAAGAAUUCCAUCCUCACUUGGUAAUCUAUCCAAGCUCCUUCAUUUAGACCUUUCACUAAAUGAAUUACAGGGUGAGCUGCCUGUUUCUGUUGGUAAUCUUCAUUCAUUGGAAGAACUUGAUCUCUCUGCAAAUUUCCAUUGGAAAUCUUAGAUCAUUGGAAGCAAUAAAUGUCGCUAAGUGUAAUUUUUCAGGUCAAAUUACAUCUUCACUUAGGAAUCUUUCCCAACUUACCGCCCUUGACCUUGCUCAAAAUUCUUAUAGAGGAAUGAUAGAGUUAGAUGUUUUACUUACUAGCUGGAAAAAUUUGGAAUUUUUAGGUCUCUCAUUAAAUAGGUUGUCAGUGCUCACCAAAGCCACUUCUGAUACCACUUCACAGAAACUUAAGUAUAUAGGACUGCGUUCAUGCAAUCUUACUAAAUUUCCUAAUUUCUUGCAAAACCAACAUCAUUUGCGGUUCAUGGAUCUUUCUGACAAUAGAAUUCAGGGAAAAGUGCCUAAAUGGUUGUUAGACCCCAAUAUGCAGAAUCUCAAUGGCUUCAACUUUUCGCAUAACUUGUUAACCGGGUUUGAUCAGCAUCCUGUUGUUCUUCCCGGGAAUAAAGGUGAUUUGCUGACUUUUGAUCUUAGCUCUAAUAAUUUACAAGGACCACUCCCAGUUCCACCCCCCGGAACCAUUACCUAUCUAGCUUCAAACAAUAGCUUAACAGGGGAAAUUCCAUCGUGGAUAUGCAAUUUGAAUAUUCUUGAAAGCCUUGUUUUGUCUCACAAUAACUUAAGUGGCUUGCUUCCUCAGUGUUUAGGCAAUUUCAGCGAUGAACUUUUAGUGCUCGACUUGCAGGGGAACAACUUGUCUGGGACCAUCCCAAAUACUUUCAUUAAAGAAAGUAGAUUAAGCGUGAUUGAUUUAAGCCAUAAUCUGUUCCAGGGAAGAAUUCCAAGAUCAUUGAUCAACUGUUCAAAGUUGGAAUUUCUUGAUCUUGGGAACAACCAGAUUAGUGACACUUUUCCCUCUUGGUUAGGAACUCUUCCAAACUUGAAUGUUCUCAUCCUACGAUCCAACAUAUUUUACGGCAUUAUAGAAGAACCCAGAACUGAUUGUGGAUUUUCUAAACUCCGCAUUAUUGACCUAUCUAACAACAGAUUUACUGGAACGCUUCCAUCAAAGAGCUUCCUGUGUUGGAAUGCCAUGAAAAUUGUCAAUACAAGUGAGCUAAGAUAUCUGCAAGAUGUGCUUUCUCAGUAUGGACGAACGUCCAAUGAUAUACUUAGCACUUACGACUACUCAAUGACAAUGAACAGCAAAGGGAGAAUGAUGACAUAUAACAAGAUUCCGGAUAUCCUCGCGGGCAUUAUUCUCUCAAACAAUAGAUUUGAUGGGGCGAUUCCAGCAUCGAUUGCGAAUUUAAAGGGACUUCAAGUUCUAAACCUCCAGAACAAUAAUCUCCAAGGCCAUAUUCCGUCAUGUUUGGGCAAUCUAACAAAUUUGGAAUCAUUGGAUCUGUCAAAUAACAAGUUUUCAGGACGGAUUCCCCAACAACUGGUUGAGCUCACAUUUCUCGAAUUUUUCAAUGUCUCGAAAAAUUACCUUGCAGGGCCUAUACCACAAGGAAAUCAAUUUGCUACAUUUGACAACACUUCUUUCGACGGCAACUCAGGAUUGUGUGGAAGGCCUUUGUCCAAAGGAUGUGAGAGUGGUGAAGCUCCAACAAAUGAAGAUCAUACUGAAGGCUCGGAGGAGUCCCUAUUUUCAGGCGCAUCUGAUUGGAAAAUCAUUCUGACUGGCUAUGUGGGCGGACUUGUGGCAGGAUUGGUUCUUGGGUUCAACUUCAGCACAGGAAUUAUCAGAUGGAUUCUGGAGAAGUUGGGAAUGCAGCAAAAGGCAACAAGGGGGAGGAGGAGACGUAGAAACUGAAUGCAAUUAUAAUGUUGCUGUGAUUUUUGUUUCUAAUUCAGUCAUUGUAAUGUUGGUGUUUUUUUUUUUAAAUGGAUCCUUACAUUUCACCGUAAAAAAUAAAAAUAUUAACUGGUUUAUUAUAUAUUAAAAAAUGGUUUCUGGUUUUGUCACUUUUCAAAUUUAAAUCACUACUUGGUAUGAAUAAAAAAAUAAUAGUGUUUGGUAAUUAACAUAUCAUUAAAUGAUAAUUGUGAGGGAUUAGGUUCUACUUCUACCAUUAAAAAAUAAUAAUAAUAAUUUUGACAACAAAAGUAAAGAUAACAAAGGUUUUUAUGCAGCAACUAUGGGUUCGAAUCAUCUUUACAUGCAUCCAAGCUAAUGGUGACACUUGAAUGAUAUGGCCAAUUUAACUUUGGUUGACUUAAAACGGUACUCCUGCAUCUGUCCUUCGUCAUUCCUAUGUCAAAACCUAAGAAAUAAUUUUACAGCUAUGUUUCUGCUUCUAAUGAUCAGCAUCUAUAUUAGUGUACUGGACAAACAAGAAGCAAAUUUAUUGACCAAUUAGAUAACAAAUUAAUUAUUGAAAAUAAAAGGAAAUGUAAUAAAGCCCCGAAGAAUAAGUUUGAUAUAUCUAAUUUUAAAUUAAAAAAAAAAAGAUAUUUACACAAUAAUUAUAACUGCCUUAUAAUUAUAACUUAGAAGAAAGCUAUGCUAUUUUCUAACUGCCUUAUAUAAAUUUAUCAGGAGAACAAACAUUACAUUUUACUAUUUGUCAUGAAUCUUACAAUGACUCCGAAAGAGCUUUUGUUUUUUUUUUUUUUUAAAAAGGGAAAAUAAAAAUUAACGCCUAAUGAAGAUCAUAAUAAAAUUCAAAAAGUAUAUUAAUGAGAUUAUAAGAAAUUCAAUUUACGAUACCGAACUAAAGACUGUCUGUGUGUUACAGGAACAAUUGAAAGUUUUACGUGUCGUUCUGAAAGCUUUAAUUCACUUUACUGAAAAGUCUGGGUGAGGCUUGCCCCGGAGCUGGAAGAUUUCAAGAGCUAAGAGAUAUUGCUGUGUUUGUUUGCCUAGAAAGUGAAGAGAAAAUACUAAAAGUUUUGAUAGAAAAAUAGUGAGCCAGAUUCAUUUCAUUAAGCUACAAAAUGAACUGAGAUUACAGGGGUUUAUGUCCAGGAGCUUCUAUAAGCAACAAAAUCAUGAGCGUGACCUCGGCCGCUUGUAACAACAUUUGAGAUUUCAGGGGUUUAUAUAUACAUGUCCAGAGGCUUCUUAAGCAAAGCAACAGCCUCCAUAACUGACUGCUGACGUGGUUGAUGACUCAGCAUAUUGCUCAACAUCAAGAACCUGUUGAUGAUAAUUGAUGCAGAAAUUUUUUUUCCUCACUUAAUUUUGAAAAUAUGCUCUUUCGACAUUUGAAUAUUGCUCAAGUAUUCAUUUCCUGUUUGGAUUUGGAUAGAUCGAGGUAAAAUAUCAGAGUUUCGCAUACAAUUGGCCUCCAAUUUCUGAUCGUAAAAUUUUUCACAUAAUGAAUGACAAUACUUUUUCGUUGAUUGGGAAGAGGAGCAUCCUUCUUGCUGCAUUUCUAUUGUCAGCAUUUGGAUUUGCUGUUACCAUGAGUACGCAUACUUGUACCGUGAGAAGAACUAGAGCUGCUACCAGAAUGCAUUUUCAGAAGCGGCAAGUUUGGUCAUGUGGACCAAGGAAUGUUUAGUUGCUCAUAUAUAUAUAUAGUCUUGUGGCCCAUGAAAUGCUGGAUUGUUAGAUUUUUUUUAAAAUAAAUGUUAAAUGUAUGCGGGCUAAAUUAUUUAGAAUAUUAUUAGUGGGUGUUGUUAGUUAGGGGUUUUGCUAAUCGAUGACAGCAGGUUGAUGAAGUUAUAUUUGUUGCACAUGAUGACAAGUUUUUGUUUUAAAUUCAUUUAUUUCAUUAAAUUUAUAAACUGAAUAUUAAUAAUGUUUUGUUGCUUAAUUUAUUGAUAAUGGAAACCGUUUAUCAUUGCUGCCCAUUAGUACAUUAUGUUGAAAUUUGUCUCAACUAUAUGUCAGCUACUAAACAAAAAAUGGAUAAAUCUUGGCUUAAAUAUGAUAUAUUGUUUGAUGAGUAUGAGGCUGAUGUGAAAAAAUUUAUUAAGACUGUAGUUGAAGGAUUAUGAUUCUUUCCAAAUAAGAGUUUAUUUCUUCAACAACAACAACAACAACAACAACAACAACAACAACAACAACAACAACAACAACAACAACAACAACAACAACAACAACAACAACAACAACAACAACAACAACAACAACAACAACAACAACAACAACAACAACAACAACAACAACAACAACAACAACAACAACAACAACAACAACAACAACAACAACAACAACAACAACAACAACAACAACAACAACAACAACAACAACAACAACAACAACAACAACAACAACAAUAAUGAUAAUAUUGUUAAUAAUGAUAAAUUAAUUAUUUUUAUUAAUUAUUAAUACUAUGGGUAUUUUGGUAAAUUGAUUCUCAUUCCCUUUUUUCAUUCGCAUUUAUUUUGCCAAGUAAACACAUUAAUGACAUUCCAACAUAUUCCUAUUACAGCCCAUUCCCAUUCCUUGAAGUAAACACACUAUAAAUGAGCGACUCUAACCAAAUAUUGAGUUGAACCAACCCCUAUUAAAGGCAUUUUCAACAACUAGAAUGAAAGCAAAUAAAUAAAUUUUUUAAUUAAAUUAUUAAUUAAUAGUACAAUAACCCAAAAUUAAAAAUAUGUUUUCUUUGAUUAAUUUUAAAAAAAAAAUUCAAACUGUAAAACUAGACAUCCACAUCUAUUCCAUUAAUCCGUUAUCUAAUUAGCUAGUUAGGUACUAUUUUAGUUAGUUUAGAAAGUGUACUGUUUGAUCAUUAACAUCGUAAACUUGAUGAAAUCGUAAUAAUUACGUAGAAGUAUUGAAAGUGAGAAAUUCAAUACAAUAAAAUUUAAAACAAAUACCUUUUUCUUACUCAUGUGACUAUGUGAGCAGGAUUGAACCUUUAAAUUAGUUCAAGAGAUUUUACUGGUUUAAGUAGGAGCACUCAUUCUAGUUAUAAACAUUCCAUAAAUAUUAUGAUUGUUUUAAUGGAACUUAUUUUAGGAUGAGAACAUUCAAGUCUUUUUGACAAUUUAAAUAAAAAAUUAUGUUUUUGGCCAAUAAUUACUAUAAUAUGGAAAUCUGAUAGCUAGUGCAACAAUUAGGGAUAACUGGUUCUACCCUUUUCUUUUACUUUAAUCCUCCUUAAUUACUCGAGGAAGAGUAGAGAGUUCAAGAAAAUGCAGAGACAUCGGACAAAUUAGAAAUCUAAUCCUAAAUGUGUAGGACAACAUUUGUCCAUGAGGUUCCUUAAAACGCAACUUUUGUGCAGUGAAAUUAAAACGGAUGGCGGAAGCUCUAGAAACCUCGGAUAGGCUUCAUUCAAAAAUGAAAAUCAAGAGGAAAGAUUGAAGUUUAAUUACUUCACUUGUAGUUUCAAAAAUGACUUUGUGAAGUAGGAGAAAAUGACUGAAAACAGCAAGCUACGAACACUGUCCAGAAAAUAAACCUCUGAACGAACAGCUUCUGUUUUGCCACGAUUUGAGAUCCUUAAAGCACCCCAAUUGUGAUGCCUCUAGUUAGUCCACACUUAGAAAUGUUCUAGGAGUUCAUAGGAUUUGGAAUCACGAAAUUUCGUUUAGAAAUGAGAGUGAUAAUGAGGAAACAUGAAUGCUAGUUCAUGAUGAUUCAUUCCACCAAAUAAAGCCACCACUAUCUUUUAGAACUAAGAAAGAAUUUUCUGACACGACAUAUGAUUGAUACUCGAAGACUUCUAAUUCUAGUCUUGAGUAUUUAUCCGCCGGCCUUGAUCGUCUGGAUAAUGAUUUAUGACCGACCCACCCACUAAGCCAUUAUUUAUUGAAUGUGAUCUUAUCACUUCAAUAAUUUAUUUAAUCAAAUAAAUAAAUAACUAAAUUAAUUAAGUUUAGAGGAAAAUUUUUGAGUUGUAGUGAAAAGUCAUCAAGCCAAUCACAUAAACUCGAGUAUGCAGAACAUGUUCUAAUGCUUUCUCUUAAUCCAUAUUAGGUCCAAUAAAAGUCCAAAAUUCUAAACCCAAAAUUGGUCUAGAAGUCCAUAAUUAUAUAUGAACCGGAACAUGUCCAAAAUGGUCAUUUUACGUGCUUGAUAUUAUACAUAAUGUUUAAUUGAGGAUUUAUGAAAUUUAUUUUGUUCCUUAAACUAUUUACGGAACAUCUAAAUUUCUAUCUUAAAUCAUAUUUAAGAUAUAUUUAUAUAUAUAUAUAUAUUCAUUCUUAAUGAAUUAUAAUAUAAAUAUCGAUUUUCCUAAAAUUAGGAAAUUUAACUUCUCAUUUUCUAGUAACUCCUUUUUUCAUUUCUAUUUGGUGUGUGACUUUUUAGGUUCUUUGUUAUAAGGUAGUAGAACUAUUUUACUGAUAACUCUUUAUGCAUUAAAUGAUGCUAAACCCUUUAGUCAUCAAAUAGAACUUUUCUAAUGACCUUAAGAUGCAUUGCUAAUACGCUUUACCAAUAUUAAUCUUAAGGUUUCUACAAGUCAUGAGUGACACCUAGCAGUAUUUCACAACCAUCCAAAUAACAAGAAUUGUUGGAUCUAUAGAACCUUUUCCAUUGUAUCCCUAUGUCUUGGUCUCUCUUGGUCUCUUCAUCAUCCAUGUCCAGAGAAAAGCACGCCUUACAGUUUAUUAUGUUAAGCAGUUAUGCUUUAUCUCAAAAUCAAAUAAUAAAAAAUAAAUAUUAUUAAGACUAACUUUUGUUGACUUAAAAAAAUAAAAAAAGAGUCCAAUGACUAAAAUGUUUGAAUUGCUGCAAUUUGCCUAUAAAAGCAAACCAAGAUCCUUAAAUUUCUUCACAUCUACAAAGUUAAACAAAUUUAAUUUUUUAGAAAACUAUGGGUUUAUCCUCCAUAUGUUUAUUCACAAUAUUCAUACGGUUAGUUUUUCCUUUCUUUUUCUUUAAUUUUACAAUUGCUAACUUCACUGCUUCUUCUAUGCCGCCACUCUGCCAUGAUGAUGAGCGCUCUGCUUUGUUGCAAUUCAAAGAAAACCGCAUCAGUGGUGAUUUUUAUGCUUGGAAAUUUGACUGUCAUCCUACAAUGGCAUCAUGGAAGCCAGAAGAAGGUAACGUUGAUUGCUGCUCUUGGGACGGAGUUCAUUGCAAUAAGAACACUGGUCAUGUCAUCAAGCUUGACCUCUCCCAUAGCUGCCUUUUUGGUUCUAUCAACUCUAGCAGCAGCCUUUUCAAGCUUGUCCAUCUUGAGUGGCUUAAUCUUGCUUUGAAUGACUUCAAUUCCUCCGAAAUCCCACCAGAAAUCAUCAACCUUUCCAGGUUAUCAUACUUGAACCUCUCUGGAACUUCUUUAUCUGGCCAAAUACCAUCAGAAAUUCUAAAGCUCUCCAAUUUGGUGUCCC
rnacentral:lncRNA from 1 species